rnacentral:rRNA from 1 species
CCUACGGGCGGCUGCAGUGGGGAAUAUUGGACAAUGGGGGCAACCCUGAUCCAGCCAUGCCGCGUGUGUGAAGAGGCCCUCGGGUUGUAAAGCACUUUCAGUGAGGAAGAACGCCUGGUGGUUAAUACCCAUCAGGAAAGACAUCACUCACAGAAGAAGCACCGGCUAACUCCGUGCCAGCAGCCGCGGUAAUACAGAGGGUGCGAGCGUUAAUCGGAAUUACUGGGCGUAAAGCGCGCGUAGGUGGCUUGAUAAGCCGGUUGUGAAAGCCCCGGGCUCAACCUGGGAACGGCAUCCGGAACUGUCAAGCUAGAGUGCAGGAGAGGAAGGUAGAAUUCCCGGUGUAGCGGUGAAAUGCGUAGAGAUCGGGAGGAAUACCAGUGGCGAAGGCGGCCUUCUGGACUGACACUGACACUGAGGUGCGAAAGCGUGGGUAGCAAACAGGAUUAGAUACCCUUGUAGUC